rnacentral:rRNA from 1 species
UACAGAGGGUGCGAGCGUUAAUCGGAAUUACUGGGCGUAAAGGGCGCGUAGGCGGUUAGACGAGUUAGAUGUGAAAUUCUUGGGCUUAACCUGGGGCUGGCAUAUAAUACUGUCUGACUAGAAUAGAGUAGAGGGAAGUGGAAUUUCCGGUGUAGCGGUGAAAUGCGUAGAUAUCGGAAAGAACAUCGGUGGCGAAGGCGGCUUUCUGGACUCAUAUUGACGCUGAGGCGCGAAAGCAUGGGGAGCAAACAGG